CAAAAAACAUCUGUUUGCCUAGACUCAUUGGUUACAAAUAUGCUUCGGCUAAGAGCUAUUUGUCCAUUCUCCUGGACUGUGUUUCAAUUUCGACUCAUCAGUUGUGAACCACUCAUUAUUCAGAUGAAUAAGUGUAUAGAUGAGGAGCAAAUAUUUGAUUUUAUUGAAAGAAACAAAAUCAUACUUUCAGAAAAACAAGUGGGAUGUACAUUUAAUAUACUUUGGAAGCUUCAAAAGCAGAAGAUCAGUCUAUUAAAAAAUGUUGAGUAUGUCAGAGACCAUUCUCAAUUUCUUACUCUUCAUAAUUUAGCUACAAAUAAAUUCAAAUUAAUGAAUGGCAAUACCCUGGUGAAUGUGUUAUACAUCACACAACAGUUUGCUGGUGAGGCCCACGAUCCGCUAGUUGAAGCACUAGUUACAGAAGCAUGGGGUAGGCUAGAAAGGUUUGAUAUUAAACUGCUGUCAGAAUUUUCCUCUUGCUUAGCAGAUCAGCAUUUGUAUUUUAGUCCAUUAAUGGGAAAAAUAGCUGAUAUUGUCCAUAGGAACUUGGAAACCAUCCAGAACUUAAGUUCCUUGUCUGUCUUGAUGGUCAACAUAUCUUCUUUAAUAUCACGACAUUUUCAAGAACAACUGGUGAACAAAACGGAACUUGUUUUUGACACCACAGAUUCUUCUGAGGUCAACGUUGCAAAAAGAAUGGUACAGUUUCUUCGAAACUUUAGAUAUCAUUAUCAACCACUAUUAGAAAGCUUUGUAAAGUUUUUUGUAGCAUUGGGACCCAUUGCAGGACCUGAAGAAAAGAAACAACUUAAAUCAACUAUGUUAUUGAUGUCAGAGGAGCUAACCAACGAGUAAGCCCUGGUAGUGUUGGGAACAAUGGAAGAUAUAGAAAGCAGAAAUUCAUGUCUGAUUAAAAGAGUUGCUUCAGUUCUGCACAAACAUUUGGAUAACUAUAAACAAUUAGAGUUGUUGAAGAUAACUCAAGCAUUGACUUUUCUGCAUUUCCAAAGUAGGGAGUUUUUUUGUGAAACUUGGAGAAUUAUUGCUUAGUUAUUUGAAAAUUAGUUUCAUACCAACUGAGAUGUCCAUUCUGGCCUCUGCUAUUUCCCUGCUCCCUUCUCCUCAUUUGGACGAAGUGGGAAUAUCCAGAAUUGAAGCAGUUUUACCACAGUGUGACCCAAAUAAAUCCAUCCAUUUAGAAUCCUUGCUAUUACUCUUCCAUUCAGAAUUUUUAACUAUGAUCCACCUCAAAGGGAUGAAGUUUUUGGAACUUGCGUGCAACAUCUUAAUUUCUACUUAGGUAUAUUGGAUCCUCUUAUGUUAGUGUUUCUUGGUUUCUCUUUGGCCACACUUGAAUAUUUUCCUGAAUAUCUGCUAAAGGUAAUUUUAAUAUCAAAUUCUUAGCUAGACUGGAUUCUCAACUUGAAAUUUUAUCUUCAUCUCUAAGUGCAAGAGUCCAGUUUUGUCUUAUGGAACUAAAUAGAUCAGUCUGCUUGGAAUGCCCUGAGUUUCAGAUCCCAUGGUUUCUCGACUGCUUCUGUCAGCAAUAUAAUAAAGGUAUUGCUGGCAUGAAUGUAGCACAACAGCAGAUUUAUAAAAUGUUAGCAGAGGUACUAGGAGGAAUCAAUUGUGUAAAAGCCUCAGUUCUUACUCCUUAUUACCAUACAGUAGAUUUUGAGUGUAUCUUGGAAGAAAGAAAAAAAUCUCUUCUUUAUGGAAGCCAUAAUAUAACAUUGGGACAACUACCAGAAAUGCCCUGGGAAUCAAAUACUGAAAUAGUUGGAUCAAGGCUGCCACCAGGAGCUGAAAGGAUUGCUUUGGAAUUUUUGGAUUCAAAAGCAUUUUGUAGAAAUAUCCUUCACAUAAAAGGAAAAUCUUCUAUGAAAAAAUGACAUUUGGAAUUUUUGGGCUAUCAUAUAAUUCAGAUUCCUUGGUUUGAAUGGAACUCUAUGGCACUGUCAACAAAGGAUGCUUGGAUGGACUACCUGAGAGAACAUGCAUUUAGAGAAGUCGAAUCAUGA
rnacentral:lncRNA from 1 species